GAUGAACGCUGGCGGCGUGCCUAAUACAUGCAAGUCGAGCGAACGGACGAGAAGCUUGCUUCUCUGAUGUUAGCGGCGGACGGGUGAGUAACACGUGGAUAACCUACCUAUAAGACUGGGAUAACUUCGGGAAACCGGAUCUAAUACCGGACAAUAUUUUGAACCGCAUGGUUCAAAAGUGAAAGACGGUCUUGCUGUCACUUAUAGAUGGAUCCGCGCUGCAUUAGCUAGUUGGUAAGGUAACGGCUUACCAAGGCAACGAUGCAUAGCCGACCUGAGAGGGUGAUCAGCCACACUGGAACUGAGACACGGUCCAGACUCCUACGGGAGGCAGCAGUAGGGAAUCUUCCGCAAUGGGCGAAAGCCUGACGGAGCAACGCCGCGUGAGUGAUGAAGGUCUUCGGAUCGUAAAACUCUGUUAUUAGGGAAGAACAUAUGUGUAAGUAACUGUGCACAUCUUGACGGUACCUAAUCAGAAAGCCACGGCUAACUACGUG
rnacentral:rRNA from 1 species